rnacentral:lncRNA from 1 species
AAAGGUCAGAGGAUGCCUCUUGGAAGAUUUGACCUUGGAACCGAGACCUGAAGGACCAGCAGAUCAAAGGGAAAAGUUUUUCAGGUAGAAGGAACUGCAAAUACAAAGGCUCAGAGGCUCAGUCAUGCUCAGUGGCUUAACUAUGAAUGAGGGAGCACAGAGUGAGAGAUGAGGUGGGAGAGGCAGACAGUGAUCCAGUCAUCAGGGCCUCACAGGCUGUGAUAAGAAGCUGGAUGAUAUUCCUCAGAAGGAAGGAGACAGAGGCAGGUGGCACGCUGUGUAAACCGUGAAAAGCAUUAUGAAAAUAUCUGCAAAUCGUGUGCUGUCUCCAAAUAUUUCAACAUAAAUAUUUGCUGGAGGCAGGUCCAACUUCCCAGCGCAAGAGGAGGACAGAAGGUGAGCAAAGAAAGAAAAUACAGCACGAGUAAAACAGCAUCCCUCUUCCUGUUGAGAUGCGAAGGCGCCAGCACACUGCGCUCCAUGUUCUCAUACUCCGCGUGUGCAGACAGAUGGCGAAUCCGCGUCGAUGCUGGGAUGGGUUCUGGGCCCUGCAUGAUGAUGCGAGAAAAGGGAAUCGAAGUCGGGUCCACUGCCGUCUGCACUGUAAGGAGGUUCCUGAAAGCCUGCUGCCCACGAGACGGAACCUUCUAUGAUUGCUGCUGAUGAAGGCUCUCCCCAGCGUUGCUUAUGCAGUGACAGCAAGCAAAACGGCCACCUCACACAGCGGCUUCCUCGGAGUGGGGAGGAGGGACAUCGAUGGAGCAUCUCUGAGGUGACCUCCUGGCCAUUAAUGAUUCUUCAAGUGAAUCAAGCCAGAAUCAGAGAUUCCCAGAGGGAUGUGCCGGUGGUUCAGCAUGUUACCGCUAGGGGGCGCCAGCAGAGCACAGACCUGCCAGUGAGGCUUCCUCCAGCCAGACUUCUUUGUGAGCUGAGAAGGUGCCUUUUCCUCCCUUAUUUCUUUAUUCCACAGCCCACCACACAAUAGAUGUGAGUGAGAGUGAGUAAGACUUGUUGGGGGACAGAACACCUACAGUGGGUGCGUUUAGAGCCUCCGUGGACAAGCCAUAUAUUAGACUGGAAUUUCUCCCAAUCUGGCCUGACACCCCCAUUUCCCGAUGCCAGGUGUUCUUUAACAUGCAGAUUCACCCUGCCAUCAUGGAAUCAAAAGGGCAUCGGGCCCAGGAAUCUGCAUUUAUACCAAGAGUGGAAGAUUUGGUAAGCCAAAUAAACUUGGAGAACCCAUUUCA